GUAGUAGUUUCCAGUUACAGCAGUGCGGGUCAGUCCAACAGGGCCGUCCGCCGCCUCUUUUUUUUCUUUUCUUUCUUUUUUUUCUUCUUCUUAGUGUGAGAUUAAGGGGCCAAAGCACAUAAUUCCAGUUAUCGUUUUUGAGUUCCAGCUGCAGCUGCCGAAUGCGGAUGUCUUUCUGGGAGAGCUCGUCUUUCAAUCUCCGAAUCUCGUCCUGCUGUCGGAAGAACAUUCGGAGGAGCUGGAAGGGAGGGACCAACAGAUGGGAUGGAAAGAGAAAAAGGAGAGAAGAGAAGUGAGCGUCCGGGAUCGUGCUCUCUCUCCUUCCUAGGGCCUCGCCACCCCCACCCCUGAGGCUUCCAGCUCUCACCUUCCCCCAGAGUUCUGCCUAUGUACACACACACACACUCAGCCCUCUCACCAGCCUGGAAGCUCAGUGAUUCAGCUUUUCUAAAGCCUCCCACUGCUCCAGGCUCUGGUGGCCAUUUUCUCUGGUAAACUGGGAGAUCGGAUUAAAUUAGGGUAUCGAGAAUGAGCCUUGGCUCUAUUCUGGCUGAAUGCAGCAGUGGCUCAUUUAUCUGGCAUCAUCAGGGAAUGCGCUGCCCUACGUAAGUGAAUUUUCCAGAGGACUGACGAAUAGCCCUUUAAAAGCCCAAACUCUUCUUUUCACUUUCGCCAUUUGGGAUGGAAAUCCUUCCAAAAUGUAUAAUGGAUUCCUCGGCCUUUUAAGGAACCACACACAGUAAACAGGAUGCGACCUUUUCUCCAAGAUUCAGAAUCCCCGUCAUAGGCAUCGAUGCGAUGUCGUAUAAGGGAUGCCCUUGGGGCCACUGAAGUGUCUAGGGCUGUUUCCCCCUUCACUAAAUGGCCCCAGAUUGCUCUGCUUCUCUAGUUCUGGUAUUUUAUUUUUAUCGCUUUCUGACUCCUACCCCACAGCUCUUCAGAGUUAUAAUUAAGUGUGGGGCUUUGCUCCAAGGGGCUGAAUUUAAAGGAGUUGCCCCAGGUGGAAUUUGUGGAUCUUUGUCCCACGUGCAAAAAUCCCCAUUUAUGGCUCUGCUGUCAUUUCUUUUUUAUUUUGAAAUUUUUAUUUAAUGAUUUCUUUUUUCUUGAGUGUUCAACUUUUUAUUUUAUUUUUUAAAAUUUAGUUAAUAAAAUUUCCCCCUGGUUACUUGA